rnacentral:rRNA from 1 species
AGAGUUUGAUUCCUGCUCAGAACGAACGCUGGCGGCAGGCUUAACACAUGCAAGUCGAGCGCCCCGCAAGGGGAGCGGCAGACGGGUGAGUAACGCGUGGGAAUCUACCCAUCACUACGGAACAACUCCGGGAAACUGGAGCUAAUACCGUAUACGUCCUUCGGGAGAAAGAUUUAUCGGUGAUGGAUGAGCCCGCGUUGGAUUAGCUAGUUGGUGGGGUAAAGGCCUACCAAGGCGACGAUCCAUAGCUGGUCUGAGAGGAUGAUCAGCCACACUGGGACUGAGACACGGCCCAGACUCCUACGGGAGGCAGCAGUGGGGAAUAUUGGACAAUGGGCGAAAGCCUGAUCCAGCCAUGCCGCGUGAGUGAUGAAGGCCCUAGGGUUGUAAAGCUCUUUCAACGGUGAAGAUAAUGACG